rnacentral:lncRNA from 1 species
UUUUGUGACUUGGAAAGAAAAGGAGGGACAGGUUGGGGGUGGGGUGGAGUAAGCUAAGAAGCAAGCUUGGACCUCUAGAACAAAUUUCGCGAGACCUUUAUUACAGGGCCUCAGCAACCGGAUGAUACCGCGAGAGAGGACGCCUGACGUAAUUAAAGUGCGCGAACGGAAGUGGCGCGGAACAUGACGGAAAAUCAGUACGGUUGGUCCCUUAAGGACCAGCGGGAAAGAUAAAAGCUGGGGUUUAGUCUGUGCUGCGUGAAAUAUGUCUUGGCAUCACUUCCUCUCCUCUGAGCUGCCUGCAGACGGGCGAGGUGGUGUUGAACUGUGUUUUUUGUGACGAAGCUUACUUUUAAGUUUCAUCCCUAAACUAAGUUGACCUGUUUCUUUAAGACGGCUUGCAAAAUGUGUUUUCCUCAAUGUGGGAUAUGGAAAGAAGCAGUUGCUCCUGUUACUUUGAGCUAGUACCUGACGCUAUGAGAAAUUCUAAAAGAGCGAAUCAGAUCAUGCAACAUGAAUAACUAUAGAGGCUGAGUGAUCAAGAACAGAAGUUAAUAUUUUGGUGUUACAAACUUUCCACGGAUUAGUUUUUGCCCCCUGUGGAGGUGUUACUGCCUCCAUUGAGAAUGCAUGUACUAGCAGUUUCGUUUUUCACAUGACACAUCACAAAGUACAACAGAGAGCAUCUCUUGGUAGCCAUCUCAGAAGAGCAGUUAAACAUUCUUUUUCAAAAGCCUUGGUAAGUGUACCCUUGAGGGAUGGGGAACAGGAUGCUUGAGGAUACACACAGUCAUGCGCUGCAUAACGAUUUUUUGGUCAAUGGACCUCAUAUGUGACAGUGGUCCUAUAUGAUUAUAAUGAAGCUGAAAAAAUCCUAUUGGCUAGUGACAUUGUAGCCAUAGUAAUGUCAUAGCAUGACACAUUACUUAUAGUGCAUUACUCGUGUUUGUGGUCAUACUGGUGUAAACAAACUUAUGCUGCUAGUCAUACAAAAGUAUAAUACAAUUAUGUGCAGUGCAUAAUAUUGAUAAUGAUAAACAACUAUGUUACUGGUUUAUAUAAUUACUAUACUAUACUUUUUAAUUGUUAUUUUA